rnacentral:tRNA from 1 species
UUGUGGGUUAGCAUAAAUGGUAAUGCAAACGGCUGAUAACCGUUAGAAGAGGGUUCGAUACCCUCACCUACAACCAA